CCUUCGACCAUGAUGGAUUCCAAAUUAGCAUGACACUUGUGAAGGCUUGCCUCAGACAUGGUGAAGUUGACAACAACGACGCAUGUUUAGGAGGGAUCCAUUUCAUGCGUUUGAUGUUGCAAAGGUAGGAACAAGCAUAGGCCAACAUUCUAAUAUGAUGAGGCUUCAUGUUUGAUUCCUACACUAAGCAAGCAUGGUGGGCUAGGACUUAAUUAGUACAAUGGGACUUCACGAUAACAUUCGGGGGUCAUUUGCUAGAGGCCAAAUGAAAUGGGUAAUCACAUCAAGAUGUGAAGAGGCAAGCGUACCUUCUCUUUAUUGUCCGAAGUAUCCUCCACUUCAAAAUCA
rnacentral:lncRNA from 1 species